GUAAGCCUGCGGUGUUCGUGUAUGGUAUGUCAUAUUGUAGUUCCAAUACUACUGAGCAGGGAAUCUCUAAUCUGCGGAUUGAUAUCACGCUUCAUUAUGAAGUAGAUAGAUGUCCGUAUGCGAGAAUCCACCUUUACAAAGGGAGCUCAAAUAUUCAUACCACUGCGGCACACGCGGGUUAAUU
rnacentral:other from 1 species